rnacentral:tRNA from 1 species
GCGUUCAUGGUCUAACGGUUAGGAUUGCUGCCUUCCAUUACCUCUGUGAGCAGCAGGUUCGGGUUCGACUCCCGAUGGACGCA